rnacentral:tmRNA from 1 species
GGGGGCGUAAAGGCUUCGACAGGGAUUAUGAAGUACGGUAAGCGGGUAGUGGCGCGGACACACUUUAAAAUCCGUAACUUUAAAAUUAAACGACAACUCUAAAGUUGCCUACGCAGCCUAAUUAGGCUGCCGUCCGACCUCAGAGCACCGCGGCUGAGCUAGGGCGUCGAAUUAGCGGUGAACGUGAAUAACGGCUCUCCCCUGCCGUUAUCAUGAUUUAUGGGGAUACCGAAGCAUUGGGUUUGACGAUUAACCUAACGCUAAGGGAAUUUUAAUAAUCGUCUGCACCCGGAGAAAGCUGUAUGAAUUGAUUUUUGGACGCGGGUUCGAUUCCCGCCGCCUCCACCA